rnacentral:rRNA from 1 species
GAUGAACGCUGGCGGCGUGCUUAACACAUGCAAGUCGAACGAUGACCCGGUGCUUGCACCGGUGAUUAGUGGCGAACGGGUGAGUAACACGUGAGUAACCUGCCCUUAACUCUGGGAUAAGCCUGGGAAACCGGGUCUAAUACCGGAUAUGACUCCAUGACGCAUGUUGUGGGGUGAAAGCCUUGUGCGGCUGAGGAUGGGCCCGCGGCCUAUCAGCUUGUUGGUGGGGUGAUGGCCUACCAAGGCGACGACGGUAGCCGGCCUGAGAGGGCGACCGGCCACACUGGGACUGAGACACGGCCCAGACUCCUACGGGAGGCAGCAGUGGGGAAUAUUGGACAAUGGGCGCAAGCCUGAUCCAGCCAUGCCGCGUGUGUGAA